GGAUGCCUUGGCGAUUACAGGCGAUGAAGGACGUUGUAGCCUGCGAAAAGCUGCGGGGAGCUGGCAAACAAGCUUUGAUCCGCAGAUGUCCGAAUGGGGAAACCCACUCCGCAAGGAGUAACCCAGACUGAAUACAUAGGUCUGUGGUGGCGAACCCGGCGAACUGAAACAUCUAAGUAGCCGGAGGAACAGAAAUCAACCGAGAUUCCCUAAGUAGUGGCGAGCGAACAGGGAUCAGCCUGCAAGAGAUAACUAGUGUAUUAGUGGAACGCUCUGGAAAGUGCGGCCGUAGUGGGUGAUAGCCCCGUACGCGAAAAUACAUUAGCGAGACUGAGCUUGCGACAAGUAGGGCGGGACACGUGAAAUCCUGUCUGAAGAUGGGGGGACCAUCCUCCAAGGCUAAAUACUCGUAAUCGACCGAUAGUGAACCAGUACCGUGAGGGAAAGGCA
rnacentral:rRNA from 1 species